rnacentral:rRNA from 1 species
AAAGUUACUUCGGUACAUCGGUGACAGGUGGUGGCAUGGUUGUCGUCAGCUCGUGUCGUGAGAUGUUGGGUUAAGUCCCGCAACGAGCGCAACCCCUAUUGUUAGUUGCCAUCAUUCAGUUGGGCACUCUAGCGAGACUGCCGGUAAUAAACCGGAGGAAGGUGGGGAUGACGUCAAAUCAUCAUGCCCCUUAUGACCUGGGCUACACACGUGCUACAAUGGUUGGUACAACGAGUUGCGAGUCGGUGACGGCGAGCUAAUCUCUUAAAGCCAAUCUCAGUUCGGAUUGUAGGCUGCAACUCGCCUACAUGAAGUCGGAAUCGCUAGUAAUCGCGGAUCAGCACGCCGCGGUGAAUACGUUCCCGGGCCUU